CAACAUCAAAAAUAAAACUCAACCAAUACUUUUAAUUAAAUUAUGAGCCUUUCAAAUUAAACACAUCAAAUACCAUAUGCCCGAAGCAAUGAAGAGAUAAAAGGAACAUCAUUGCAUAAUAUAAUCUCAAGUGCAUGUAUAUCAGGAACUAAAUUCAUAUGUCAGGAACAAAUUAUUUUUUCGAUUGAACAGAAGUCCAAAUCCGUAUUAAAAGUGGGGUUAUAGAGGAAAACAAAACAACAGGUAAAAUGUCAAGAAGUACCAAAAUCAUCUCCAUCCAAUUGACGAGGUUAAAUCAGACAGAGAGCUUGUUGACAAUGCCGUCAGAGUAGAUGGAGUCAGCCUCAUUGUCAUCGUCGUUCAUAUCGACGGUUUGGAUGUUGACACAAGAGAAUCGCUCCAAAGAGGAGAAAACGAACGCUGUCGUUGACCCAUGCAUCUUGUCAAAGAAGAUGAACAUUAAAGUCCCACUCACCAACCAUUUAUUUGUUUCCGAUUAAGAUGAAGAUCGGAGAAGAUGAAGAUUGAAGAUCUCUUCCGUUGGUUUUUGUUGGGAGG
rnacentral:lncRNA from 1 species